GGAGGAAAAGAAACUAACAAGGAUUCCCCUAGUAACGGCGAGUGAAGCGGGAUGAGCUCAAGCUUAAAAUCUCCGUGCAAUUUUUGCACGGCGAAUUGUAGUCUAUAGAGGCGUGGUCAGUAUAAGCACUUGGGGUAAGUUCCUUGGAAAAGGACAGCAUGGAGGGUGAUACUCCCGUUCAUCUCUAAGUUGCUUGUGCGUACGACCCGUUUUCUUUGAGUCGCGUUGUUUGAGAAUGCAGCGCAAAGUAGGUGGUAAAUUCCAUCUAAAGCUAAAUAUUGGUGCGAGACCGAUAGCAAACAAGUACCGUGAGGGAAAGAUGAAAAGAACUUUGAAAAUAGAGUUAAAGAGUACCUGAAACUGCUGAAAGGGAACCAAAUCGUUUCCAGUGUCUAUAAUCCGUGGUAUAUUUCAUUGGCGAGUGUGUGCGUGCGUGUGCUGUUGCAGUGGCUUUUUGGCUGCGCUCGGUGUGUGUGCUGUGUGUACUUGCUGGUGCCCUGUGCUGCGGUGGGACGUCAAGGUCAGUUCGUAUGCUGCGGGAAAUGGCUACUGAGGAGGUAGGGCUUACGCUUGCGUUUGUCUGUUAUAUCUUGGUGGACGAGUCGUCGCGGUUGGGACUGAGGUGCCUACAACGUGCUUUUGAGUGGGCUUGGGUCUCCGUGUGCGCCGUGUGCGGAUAGCUUGCUAUGCGUGUGUGGUUGUAUGUGGAUUGAUGCGAGCCGUAACU
rnacentral:rRNA from 1 species